rnacentral:rRNA from 1 species
UGACCUCGGAUCAGGUAGGAAUACCCGCUGAACUUAAGCAUAUCAAAAGCGGGAGGAAAUCGGAUCAGGUAGGGAUACCCGCUGAACUUAAGCAUAUCAAUAAGCGGAGGAAACAUCAGUCAUGAUGAUCGGAUCCACUGUCACAUCGGGGCCUCGUAUAUUAUCGGUAGAGAAUGGGCGCCAAAGGCGAGCGUUGUGGCUGUCGUUACCCGGGCCUGACCGAUGGGUACAAAGAUAGAAUCAAUACAAGCCUUACACCGGGUGUGGAAUGUGACCAGGUAAUGUAGCCAUCUACCCUCGCAAUGCGCCAGAUCCGCAUAUAUGGAUAUCGCGAGCCAUAGCUUGAAGAGAUGCAAGACAAAGGCCAUUACGUAGGUGGGAACUUCGCUACAAUUCUGAUACCUAGUGAUGGCCGGUCUUGUGCGAUUUCAGUAAUGAUGAAGAGCCCUGCGCGGUCGUCGAGUGGUAGUGACUAAUCCCGUCUC